CCCUUCGGCGGCUGGGUCAAGAGCAGAGGUGUCAGAGCAAUAGUGAGCGUUGUUCCAGCUUGGUUGGUUCUAGCACAUGUUGUUCAAGAGGCCGAUCCACACACUGAGUGGAGAUUUUUCAGCAGGAUCAGUGGCUGUGUGGGAGCCAGAGCACCCUAGGCAGAGUGGGAUGGCGGAGCUGUGGCCUGGGCACGAUCCAGAGCGUUUCACAGGGCUCCAAUCCACACUGCAUUCUGCAGGGCCCCAACAGCACUACAAUGCCCAUCAGGGUGGCCCAGAGGUCCCAGGACCAGCAGCAGAUGCAAGAAGAGCCGAAUCAAACACUUCAUGUCCUGCCUCUGAGAAAAAGAGAACAAUGCUCAUUAAGCCUGCAGAGAGUGAAGGGAAUGCUUGCAGUGCUGUUUAUUGCUGACCCUACAGGGACAGGGUGAUUAAUUUACUUGCUCUGAGGACUUACAAGAAGCCACAGUUACUUGCUCGCUUGCAAAGAGAUGGAGUCAUGCAAAAGGACAAGGGCACCCUUGGAAAGAUCCUUCAGCAGGUGAUAUUGUGGAGUGUCUGUCAGCAAUUUUUCCACCACACUAUUCUUUCGUUCCUAAUUGUCACUUGUUUCUCCACUGUUUUUAGAUAAAUUAGAUACUAAUGAGCAAGUUAAGAAAUGCUCCCUGUUAAGUUUUUUCAUCAACU